rnacentral:rRNA from 1 species
AUGGCAUCCUACUGCUGUUUUAGGAUAUCAAGGACACGUUUGCCAAGCUUUACUGUACCACGAUAUCGGUUGAUAACGCUCCAAGACAUGCUUUGCCUGAUUCUUCGUCCAGAAGGUGAAGUGGUUGCCAUCGAGGGCACUGGCGGCUUGGGAAAGACAUGGGCGGCAAAAGCGGCAUUUGAAACCGCAAGGAACUCUAAUCGCUUUGAUACAUAUAUCUGGGUUUCAUUGUCUACAAGCUGUAGUCUGAGACGGUGCACUGAGAAGAUUGCCACAUGUCUUUCGAUUGACAUUGGUGAAGAACUGUUAUCAUCGAGAAUUAGGGUAAUGAUCAAGGAACGUCUCAUGAGACGGAAGUUCUUGUUGGUUCUCGACAAUGCUUAUUUUGUCGAGGAAAACAUCUUAGGGAAAUUGGGGAUUCCAUGUCCUCGAGAGCAGAGUUUAGGUUCAAAGGUCAUUGUGACCACAAGAACCGGGAGGACAGUGUCAGUCAUGGAUCCAGCUAUACUUAUAUCGCCACAACCUCUCACAGAUCAGGCCUCAUAUGACCUACUGCGCGAGAAGAUCGGCAGAGAUAUUGAUCUGCAGUUAAUUGACAACUGCUUUGGCAUGCCAUUGUCGAUCAUCUUACUGGCUGGGGCACUGUGUGAUAUACCUACACAAGAGUCGAGCAAGUUAAUAAGUGAAGCUUAUGUGGCUCUAAGACCCAAGAUAUCAGUGUUCACCACAAUGAUUCGCCUUGUAAAGUUUUCUUACCAUCGGCUUCCUAGUGAUACUGCCAGGCGCUGCUUCCUAUACUGCCUACUCUUCCCUGACGAUGAAGCAAUCACUGUCAAGGACCUGAUCAUUUUAUGGAAGCUGGAUGGUAUCAUUCAAGAAGCUAGAGAUUCUCAUGAGGCUAACUGUUAUGGGGAGGAAAUUCUCCAUGUGCUUUUAAAGCAUGGUUUGAUUCAUUUUGAGGGUGACCAUCAUAUCCGCAUCCAUGAUGUCAUCAGAGAGACGGUAUCACAAGUUGGACGUGAGAAUGGCUAUGUGGAGCAGCCUGAAAAGUACUUUGACAAUGACAUUCCAUUUGAGUAUCUUCUUGCCAAGUUCGGUGGAAGGAUUUCCUUGAUGAACAACACAGUGAAGGAAGAACUCCGUGCAAGUCCAAGUCAUGAGUUCUUCUCAACUUCAACCCUGCUUUUAAGAGGGAACCGCCAUAUGAGAACCAUAUCGGAAGAAUUUUUCUGCCGUGUGGGAAUGCUUAGAGUGCUAGAUCUGUCCUUCACUCCAAUCAGAAUCCUUCCCCAGUCCAUUUCUCGUCUGUUUCACCUCCGGUUGCUGCUACUGGCUGGAUGUGGACACCUGGAGAGAAUUCAGCACAUAGGCUCGCUGGAGAUGCUGGAGGCACUUAGUGCAUCAGGUUGUGGCUCCCUAAAAAGGGUAGAAUGCGGAUCAUUUGACCGUAUGGGGUUGCUCAAGAUCCUCGACCUUUCGAGAACUUCUAUCGAAUGCUUGCCAUCCCUGGCUGCGUCUGUGGAGCUUAACCAGCUUCUGCUACAAGAUUGCGCAUUUCUCAAGUCUGAGCGAACUAUGGAAACAGACCACAAGUCCUGUGAUACAGAAUUUAUCAGGUUCCCUUAUGGAGUUUCAAAGAAAGGUGCUGUCAGUAACCUACAGAUAGGGACAAGUAAGGAUCUGGUGAAUUGGAUGGCCAUGCUUUGGUUACCUUGUGGACUGAAUUUUGAAUUUUCUGACAGAUUUGGUAUGAGGGUCUCUCAAGAUGUAAACCAGGACAGAAAAACAUACAUUUAUGCAAGCCAUGCCAAGUUCGUUCAGUCUUUGCAUAAAGACUCUCCACUGUGGUCAAACUGCCUUCGGAAGUUUCACAUAGUUAUCUCCCCUUUAAAGUACGAUCAAACCAUGGACAAUAGCUUUGGAGUAUGGAGAACAAAAUUCUCUGCGCUGGACGUGCAGUCCGGUGAUUUCGAUAGGGUUUUGGAGAUAAACUGUGCCGGAGUUGCUAAUGAUCUUGAAGGGGUUCUUGGAAACGCUGAGCUAAUAUCGUUGAAAAAUAUAACAGCGACAAAUCUGGUAUGGACCCUGAAUACUAGAACACUGACAGCAGCAGCACGAGAACUUUGGGUAGAAGACUGUCACCAACUGGAGAACCUCUUCUCACCGGAAGAAGCGCCUACAGUGGGCAACUUGCAGAAUAUAUGGAUCUCCAACAUGGACAAUCUAGCAUACUUCUGCCGAGUGACGGUGGAAGAUUUGACCAGUUUCAGUUGUCUGAUGCACUUGCUCCUCGAUUGCUGUCCAAAACUGAACUUCCUCUUUCCUUCAUCCCUGCGCCUGCCGAAUCUUCGUAGCCUACAAAUAAGGUUCUGUGACAGCUUGGAGAGAGUGUUCUACGAAUCGGUUGCCGCGGAACAUGCUCUUCCGGGGCUACAGUCACUCCAGCUGUGGGAGCUUCCAGAGCUUAUCUGCAUCUGCGGAGGGGUCCUGCCGUCUCUCAAGGACUUGAAGGUGAAGGGCUGUGGGAAACUUAAGGGAAUCCCUAUCGGUGUCACUGAAAAUAACCCGUUCUUCGCAACAAUAAUAGGAGAAAUGCAAUGGUGGAACGAUUUAGUCUGGGGUGAUGAAAGUGUCAAGCGCUGGAUAUUGUUUAGGAACUGGGGCCCCUUGCUACCGCAUUUUGCAACUGAAGGAUGA